UCCGGUGGUUCUGUAUGGAAGGGCCAUCGCUCAACGGAUAAAAGGUACUCCGGGGAUAACAGGCUGAUACCGCCCAAGAGUUCAUAUCGACGGCGGUGUUUGGCACCUCGAUGUCGGCUCAUCACAUCCUGGGGCUGAAGUCGGUCCCAAGGGUAUGGCUGUUCGCCAUUUAAAGUGGUACGCGAGCUGGGUUUAGAACGUCGUGAGACAGUUCGGUCCCUAUCUGCCGUGGGCGUUGGAAGAUUGAAGGGGGCUGCUCCUAGUACGAGAGGACCGGAGUGGACGAACCUCUGGUGUUCGGGUUGUGUCGCCAGACGCAUUGCCCGGUAGCUAAGUUCGGAAUUGAUAAGCGCUGAAAGCAUCUAAGCGCGAAGCGAGCCCUGAGAUGAGUCUUCCCUGAUACUUUAAGUAUCCUAAAGGGUUGUUCGAGACUAGAACGUUGAUAGGCAGGGUGUGUAAGCGUUGUGAGGCGUUGAGCUAACCUGUACUAAUUGCCCGUGAGGCUUAACCAU
rnacentral:rRNA from 1 species